rnacentral:rRNA from 1 species
GAACGCUGGCGGCAGGCCUAACACAUGCAAGUCGAACGGAUCCUUCGGGGAUUAGUGGCGGACGGGUGAGUAACACGUGGGAACGUGCCUUUUGGUUCGGAACAACUCAGGGAAACUUGAGCUAAUACCGAAUAUGCCCUUCGGGGGAAAGAUUUAUCGCAUUAGAGCGGCCCGCGUCUGAUUAGCUUGUUGGUGAGGUAAAGGCUCACCAAGGCUACGAUCAGUAGCUGGUCUGAGAGGAUGAUCAGCCACAUUGGGACUGAGACACGGCCCAAACUCCUACGGGAGGCAGCAGUGGGGAAUCUUGCGCAAUGGGCGAAAGCCUGACGCAGCCAUGCCGCGUGAAUGAUGAAGGUCUUAGGAUUGUAAAAUUCUUCACCGGGGACGAUAAUGACGGUACCCGGAGAAGAAGCCCCGGCUAACUUCGUG